GACGAACGCUGGCGGCGUGCUUAACACAUGCAAGUCGAACGCUGAAGCUUGGUGCUUGCCCUGGGUGGAUGAGUGGCGAACGGGUGAGUAAUACGUGAGUAACCUGCCCUUGACUCUGGGAUAAGCCUGGGAAACUGGGUCUAAUACUGGAUACGACAUGCCACUGCAUGGUGGUGUGUGGAAAGGGUUUUACUGGUUUUGGAUGGGCUCACGGCCUAUCAGCUUGUUGGUGGGGUAAUGGCCUACCAAGGCGACGACGGGUAGCCGGCCUGAGAGGGUGACCGGCCACACUGGGACUGAGACACGGCCCAGACUCCUACGGGAGGCAGCAGUGGGGAAUAUUGCACAAUGGGCGGAAGCCUGAUGCAGCGACGCCGCGUGAGGGAUGACGGCCUUCGGGUGGUAAACCUCUUUCAGCACGGAAGAAGCGAGAGUGACGGUACGUGCAGAAGAAGCGCCGGCUAACUACGU
rnacentral:rRNA from 1 species